CCCAAGGGGCUCAGUGGUAGAGCAUUUGACUGCAGCUCAAGCGGUCCCUGAUUCAAAUCUGUGUGCACCAGGGG